rnacentral:lncRNA from 1 species
UUUUCUAGGAUGGAGGAAGAGGGUAUAAAACCAGAUGGGGUGACUUUGAUUGCAGUGCUUUGUGCUUGUGUUCAUUCUGGGAUUGUACAAAUGGGUCAACGCAUCUUUUCUUCACUCAUUGUUGGGAAAUAUGGAUUUUCACCUGGUGUCAAGCAUUAUGCUUGUAUGGUUGAUUUAUUAGCACGUUCAGGGUGUUUAGAAGAUGCUUUAAAAGUCAUACAAGAAAUGCCAUUCGAGCCCACUGUAAGUAUUUGGGGAGCAUUGCUUGCUGGUUGUAGAACUCAUGGGAGUGUAGAACUAAGUGAGAUUGCUGCUUGGAAACUUGUGGAGUUAGCACCAGAGAAUGGUUCUUAUUAUGUUAUGUUGUCUAAUUUAUAUGCAGAAAUGGGAAGAUGGUGUGAAGUUGAAAAAGUGCGGAUGUUAAUGAAAGCGAGGGGACUUAAGAAAGACUUGGGUUCUAGUUCAGUAGACCUCGAACCCCAAAUGCUUCAUGAGUUAUUAACAUAACAAGUCUCAGUGCCUUCGACCAUAGAGAAACAUCAGCUGCUCAUCAGAGAUUUUUUGAAUUUUGAGCUUAUCCAUGCUUUGUACAAGUUAUUAAGUUUGUUGAUUAUUUCUGCCGAUUCACCAAAUUCAAACUCACAAACCUAGUAAAACUCAAAUUUAGAACUUAAUAAUUCAUGGGGCCAAUCUCAAUACGUGUCUAACUUAAUUAUACAAUAUAAAAAAGAAAAGAAAAGAAAUGAUCUUUUAAUUCUUAUAAUAAAUUUUCACAUCUUUUAAUUAUAUUUAUAUAAAUAUAUCUAUACAUUCCCAUCAAACUAGGUGAAAUGCAAGUUUUAGCAAUUGAGAUGAUCAAUUCAUCCUCUGUUUUUUUUAUACAGCAAAAAAAGUUAAAGAGAUUUUAUUCAUCCACACGAUCACGUGUAUCCUAUGACUCCCUCCUUCCCCCUCCUCCCCUUUGCAUUUGUUAGUUACUUGUUUAAUAAUUAAUAUUUAAUGCAGAAAUAAUAGUAGAUAAUUAAGUUAUUAAUACUUGUUUGAAAUUUAUAAAUGAUAAAUAAAAAAAAAUAAAUUAUAAAUAACCACACGUUAUGUUUUGUUGAAUAAAAUGUCAUUUAUAUGUACAGUUAUUUUUUUUCAUAUAUCCCUUUAUAAAAUAGAAAAUUAGGGGUGGGGGAGAGAUUUUUUUAAGAGAAAAGAUAAAGAAGAGUUUUUAAAUUGCGACGGAAAUAAGGCACAGUGUAGAUUGAAGCAGGAGAAGUAAAAAAGUUAGCCAUUCAAAGACUGCCCAACAACCAAAUUCCUAUACUAAGCUACUUCUUUCCUAGAAAUUUCUUAGAGAUAAAUACGAUUCCCAUAACUGCCCAACAACCAAAUUCCUAUACUUAUUUCCUAGAAAUUUCUUAGAGAUAAAUACGAUUCCCAUAAGAAAAGGAAAAUUAAAAAAAUGAAACAAUUUAGCCUAUAAAUACUUUCACCUCCACACCCAAAUACUCAUCAUGUGACGACUAUUCUUUCAAAUUAUUUGGGUUUGUUUUUGUGUUUUAAAUUUCCUAAAUAAAUGUCAAUGUCUAAUAGUAGUAGUUCAGAUGAUGAUCAUAUUAAUGUAGUAUUGGAACAAACAGCUAUUAAUCAACAAGUAGAAAAUUACCAGCAGGAGGAGGAGGGGAUUAAGCAACAAGUCAAGACAGCUUCUUGUCCAAUUCUAAAGCGAUUAAAACUACCGGCUGCACAACGGGCCUCUAAGGUAUAUAUAUAUAUAUGGUAAAAAUAUAUAUAUAUAUAUUGAUUUUUAUUUAUUUAAAAUAUAAUUUUGAAGGAUGCGAAAUGGUGGGUGAUACUGCAUCUAGCAUUUCAGAGCAUUGGGAUAGUGUAUGGAGACCUGGGUACGUCGCCGCUCUAUGUACUUCCCAGCACAUUCCCCGGAGGAAUCAUUAACCACCAUGAUGAUAUAGUGGGAGUUCUGUCUUUGAUCUUCUACACCAUCACUUUGCUUCCCCUCGUCAAGUAUGUCUUCAUCGUCUUACGGGCAAAUGACAAUGGCGAUGGUAAUUUAAUUUAAUGAAUUAAAUGUGUAUUAUUAUUAUUAUUUACUUACUUUAAUAAAUUUAAAUGAAUUGUGUUUGGUUUGGUUGUAGGUGGAACUUUUGCUUUGUACUCUUUAAUAUGCCGAUAUGCAAAGGUGAGUUUGAUUCCAACUCAAGAAGCUGAAGAUCGACGAGUGUCGAAUUUUGAGCUGGAGUUGCCUAAUAAUCGUCGGCUGAGGCGAGCAUCAUGGCUCAAAUCUAAGUUAGAAAAGAGCACGUUUUCAAAGUUCUUCCUUUUGUUUGCUACCAUGCUCGGUACUUCCAUGGUCAUCUGAGAUGGUGUCCUCACUCAUUUCAGGUUUCCGCCCAACUCCCAUGCAUGUAGUACUUACUUACAAACUACUUUCUGAGACAAAAAAUUAAUCCAUUCUUUUUGCAGUUUUAUCUGCCGUGGGAGGAAUCAAGGAAGCUACAUCCUUCAUGACUGAAGGUGUGUGUGUAUAUAUAUACAAUUUAAGUAAAUACUACGUACCUGCUGUUUCUGUCCCAUGAAAACUACAAUUAAUUCAAUUGUGCUUGCUAACAUCAGACGGUAAUUGAAUUGAAUUGAAUUUUGUGUUCAUCAGAUAGGAUUGUAUGGAUGUCGGUUGUAAUUUUGGUGGCUUUAUUCAUGGCUCAAAGAUUUGGAACUCACAAAGUUGGCUACACAUUUGCUCCCAUACUUUGUAUUUGGUUCUCACUCAUGGCCGGCAUUGGCGUCUACAAUUUCAUCAAAUACGAUCCCUCUGUUGUUAAAGCUGUAAAUCCUAAAUACAUCAUAGAUUAUUUCAGGAGGAACAAAAAACAAGCAUGGAUUUCCCUUGGUGGCACUGUCCUCUCCAUAACAGGUGCUGCUAUGUCGUACUUUCUUUCUUUUGUAUUUAUGCCACAUACUUGCACUUUAUAUAAUAUAUGCUAAUAUAUAUGUAUAAAAUAAAAAAAAAUCAAGUUCCAUUAAUUAUUUAACCUUUUGACACCUAUAUAUUAAGGUCUCCCAAGUAUGACAUUCUAAAAUCGCAGGAGCUGAGGCAUUAUUUGCCGAUGUUGGACACUUUACUGUUCGCUCUAUACAAAUAAGUAUGUGUACCGUCACUUACCCAGCAAUUAUACUAGCAUACGUGGGCCAAGCCUCUUAUCUUCGCCAGCACAAGUGUGAUGUGUUGGACGCUUUCUACAAAUCUAUACCAGGUAAAAAGUAAAAGUCAUUGAGUUAUUUUAAUAACUCAUUCAUAGAAUUGUUCGCACAAUGCAGGUCCUAUGUAUUGGCCAAUGUUUGUGAUGGCCGUUUUGGCAUCUAUCAUAGGAAGCCAAGCUAUGAUUUCCGGAACUUUCUCCAUCGUCCAACAAUCUCUCUCAUUGGGCUGCUUCCCACGCGUAAAAAUAGUUCAUACAUCUCCCAAGUAUGAAGGACAAGUCUUCAUACCUGAAGUUAAUUAUCUACUUAUGCUGGCUUGUGUUGCUGUCACUCUUGGAUUUAGGACUACUGAAAAAAUUGGCAAUGCAUACGGUAAAUAAAUAUUCACAUUCUAAUCGCACAAUAUAAUUAUUACAUAUGUAAGUGGAGGAUUUGAUUUAACAAAUGAUAACGCGCAGGUAUUGCGGUGGUGCUUGUGAUGACACUCACAUCAUCAUUCCUAGUCCUAAUCAUGAUAAUGAUAUGGAAAACGCAUAUUCUUCUCGUUCUCUCUUACAUCCUUGUCAUUGGCACAGUCGAGCUUCUCUACUUAAGUGCGGUCCUCUACAAGUUUGAUGAGGGAGGGUAUCUACCCUUGGUGUUUGCUUUGUUUUUAAUGGGGAUAAUGUACACAUGGAAUGAUGUGUAUCGGAAAAAAUAUUUCUAUGAGUUAGAAAACAAGAUUUCCCCUGAGAAGCUAAAGGAGAUUGCAGUUGAUACAAAUCUUUGUCGAAUCCCAGGCCUUGCUGUCUUUUACUCGGAGCUUGUUCAUGGCAUUCCUCCAAUAUUCAAGCAUUACUUGGCUAAUGUACCUGCAUUGCACUCUGUCCUGGUUUUUGUCUCUAUCAAAUCGUUACACAUUAGCAAAGUUCCAGUAGAAGAGCGCUUUCUCUUUCGUAGAGUAUAUCCAAAUGAGUUUAAUGUGUUUCGUUGCGUGGUGAGAUAUGGUUACACAGAUGUGCGCAACGAAGAGGAGCCGUUUGAAAGAAUGCUGGUGGAAAAAUUGAAAGAAUUCAUAAGAGAGGAAUUCAUGUUUUUUGCAAAGGUUCAAGGGCGACUCAAUGGUGAGAAUUGUGUAAAUGAAGGGAGAAACGCUCAAGUUGGUGAGAAUCAACAAGAGGCAAUGGAGAGGGAGAUUCAAGUGCUGGAAAAAGAAUGGGGAGCCGGGGUUGUUCACUUAGUGGGGGAGCAUGAGGUGGUUGCAAGCAAAGGAUCAAAUAUAGGAAAAAGAAUUUUGAUAAACUAUGCGUAUUAUUUCUUGAAGAACAACUUGAGGCAGAGCAUUAAUAAGGUGUUUGAUAUUCCUCAAAAGCGCAUGCUUAAAGUGGGAAUGACAUAUGAGCUCUAGUAAUUAGUAGUAGCUGGUAUAUAUAUAUGAUCAGUAUUAGUAUUCCCCCCAAUGACAUAUUGCCCAAAUAUUUACAAUCUCAAACGUAUUUUUCUAGUCAUUAUCAGUAUUAUAUUAGCAGAAUUGUACAAAAUAUGAGUGUCUCAUUGUAGGGUAAAAUCAAAAGUUCAAAACUAAUCAUGUUACAACUACUAGAGCAUACAUACCAAUGGAGCAAUUUUACUACAAUAAUAUCCUGUCUUGGUACAAUAUAAGAAUGAUGUUUAACCCUAAAUACAACUAUGAUUUCGGAAUGAAAACUGAUAUUUCCACAACAGAAAAUGAUAUUUACACAUAAAAACAUAAAAAGUGUCGCACUUUGCAUGUGAAAAUAUCAAAAAGUGUUGUGGAAAUAUCAAUUUCCUUUCUGAAAUUAUAUAAUAUACAAUCAAUACCUUCCGAUUUGUCUACAAUAAUUCUUUAUUUCUUUGCAUGCCAUUAACUCUAUCAAUUAAUGUUAACAGCAUCUGGUGGUUCAAUGCUUCAUAGUCUCUGCAUAAUUACAAGACAGUUUCUUUUAAGUAGUGUAUAACAUAAUCAUUUUUAGCAUCUAUUAUUCAUCGUAACUAUAAUAAAGUAGAGUUAAUCAUUUCUAUUUUUACCUGUAUGUAUAGAGGAAAAUAUAUAUAUGUUAAUCAUUUCUUGAAGAAGAGGAAAAUAUAAAAAAAGUGCUAUAGUAUAUAUAUAUGAUCUCUCAAAAAUUGUCUAGUCUCUACCUAAUUAAUUUCUACUCAUAUUGUAGAUAUGUACCUUUUAAGGUUUCGCACACAACCAUGAAUCUUGUCACUUAGGAGUGACCUGAAUGAAGCAUGAAUGAAAAAAAUUGUUUGAUAAUUGACAUAUCAAAAACAUCUUAAUAACAUAUUUUUAUUUUUUUACUCAUCUAAAAAAAUUUAAAAUUGUUAUAAAUUUAUUUAAUAUUACUUAAAUCUGACCAUUUAACCCAAAAAUAUCUGACCGAUUCAGCCAUUCAGACGAUUUUUAUUCAAAACAAACGCACUAAAUGGCUAAUCGAUUCAGCCAUUCAUCUCUAAACAAACUUGAGCAAAUUUGACUUCAAUUUUAAAAGACUUUCAGAACAACUUCAAAGCCCCUCAUAAGCUAAUUGAAUUCAAAUUACAGUUAUCGAAUUUGUUUUGUUUGCUCCCCAACUACUUUGUAUAAGUAAGCUUGCAAUUAUAGUUGGACUACUUUGUUCCUUAGCUUCUGUUCAAUUACAGAUACAGUUAAACUCAUAAAAAAUAAUAAGAAAAAUAAAAUUUGAGCUCUAGUGUAGGAGAAUCACAGAUACACACACCUGGUUCUGGUCCUGUUAGAAACAUAAAUACCCGGUAUAUUAAUGAAUGCUUGUGCUUUGUGCUGAUUUUAAUUAGUGUGUGGUCCGGGGAAAUACGUGACAUGAUGUGCCACAAGCAGCUGCAUGAUAUCACAUGUAAAACUCGUCGACCCUACCACUUAUAUAUGUAUCACCUUUGCAUGAUAUCACAUGUAAAAGUCCGUAUUUUACUUCCAGACGGGACUCCGGACAAAUCCACCAAAUCCUAGCCCAACUCAUCCUUCACAACCUUUAUUCAAACACCAUCAUUGCCCACCAUUUCGUUACUGCCUGCCAAACUCUAGGGCUCCUAAACUCAGCUUUCCACCUCUAUACCCAAUUCAAAAAACCACAUGUCUUCAUUUGUAACACCCUAAUGAAAGCUUUUUCUCACUCUAAAUUCCCUCAAAAUUCAAUCAUUUUAUACACCCACAUGCACAAGAACUCCAUUCUUCCCAAUAACUACACAUUCCCUUUUGUCCUCAAGUCUCUCUCUGACCUUAAAGACCUUGUGAAAGGGAAAUGCAUACAAACCCAGAUCACAAAAUUGGGUCUUCUCAAUGAUAUUUAUCCAAAACUCGUUAUUGAAUGUGUACGCUUCUUGCGGCGAGAUGGUGUUAUGUGAAAAACUGUUUGAUGAAAUGCCCCAAAGAGAUGUGGUAUCGUGGACUGUUAUGAUAACUGGGUUUAAGGAAGCUCGGAAGUUUGAUCAUGCAUUGGUUGCUUUCGAACUGAUGCACUAUGCAGGUGUUGUGCCGAAUCAGGUGACUAUGGUAAACGCCUUGAGUGCAUGUGCUAGUUUUGGGGCUAUUGAGAUGGGUGUUUGGAUACAUGACUUUAUAAGGAGGAGUGGGUGGGAGUUGGAUGUGAUAUAAUUGGGUACUUCCUUGCUUGAUAUGUAUGGAAAAUGUGGAAGAAUUGAAGAGGGAUUGAGGGUCUUCGAAAGCAUGGUAGAAAAGAAUGUCUUUACUUGGAAUGCUCUUAUAAAGGGGCUUGCUCUUGCUAAAAGUGAGGAGCAAGCAAUUUGGUGGUUUUCUAGGAUGGAGGAAGAGGGUAUAAAACCAGAUGGGGUGACUUUGAUUGCAGUGCUUUGUGCUUGUGUUCAUUCUGGGAUUGUACAAAUGGGUCAACGCAUCUUUUCUUCACUCAUUGUUGGGAAAUAUGGAUUUUCACCUGGUGUCAAGCAUUAUGCUUGUAUGGUUGAUUUAUUAGCACGUUCAGGGUGUUUAGAAGAUGCUUUAAAAGUCAUACAAGAAAUGCCAUUCGAG